rnacentral:rRNA from 1 species
GACGUAGGGGGCGAGCGUUGUCCGGAAUUAUUGGGCGUAAAGGGCGCGUAGGCGGCCUGGCAAGUGGAAGGUGAAAUCCCUCGGCUUAACCGAGGAACUGCCCUCCAAACUGCUUGGCUUGAGUCCGGGAGAGGUGAGUGGAAUUCCCAGUGUAGCGGUGAAAUGCGUAGAUAUUGGGAGGAACACCAGUAGCGAAGGCGAUUCUCUGGACCAUAACUGACGCUGAGGCAUGAAAGCGUGGGUAGCAAACAGG